rnacentral:rRNA from 1 species
UAGGUGCUUGCACUUGGUCAAGGUGAGUGGCGAACGGGUGAGUAACACGUGGGUAACCUACCUCAUAGUGGGGGAUAACAGUCGGAAACGACUGCUAAUACCGCAUAGGACAUGGGAUCACAUGAUUCUGUGAGGAAAGGUGGCGCAAGCUAUCGCUAAGAGAUGGACCCGCGGUGCAUUAGCUAGUUGGUAGGGUAAGGGCCUACCAAGGCGAUGAUGCAUAGCCGACCUGAGGGGGUGCCGAUCGGCCACAUUGGGACUGAGACACGGCCCAAACUCCUACGGGAGGCAGCAGUAGGGAAUCUUCCGCAAUGGACGCAAGUCUGACGGAGCAACGCCGCGUGAGUGAAGAAGGUCUUCGGAUCGUAAAGCUCUGUUGUUAGAGAAGAACAGCGCAUAGAGUAACUGUUAUGCGUGUGACGGUAUCUAACCAGAAAGCCACGGCUAACUACGUGCCAGCAGCCGCGGUAAUACGUAGGUGGCGAGCGUUGUCCGGAUUUAUUGGGCGUAAAGGGAGUGUAGGCGGUCUUUUAAGUCUGAUGUGAAAGCCCACAGCUCAACCGUGGA